rnacentral:sRNA from 1 species
CGAAUUUUUUUUCACUAAAGUUUUUUUGGAAAAUAAAACAUAUUUAACGAAAUUGUUAAGGAAAUCCCUUUUUCAUUUUUUAAAUCUUUUCCUUUCUACCGCUUCAACCAGAACACUUGUUAUAGACCUCCCUGUGAAACCUUUCGGAAAUGACAGAUUAUCUGACACAUUUGUUACCAAUGACAUCAACAGCCUGAGAGGAAUUUCCCAUCAACCAACUCGUUGUGGCUGUGGCAGCAAAGUGUGGAAUUUUGUUGGCCCAGAGCAAGGUACGACAAAAAAAAUAUCAAACAUUCAUGGCACUACAAUGGGGAUAUGCUACGCAAUUUAUCUCUUUGCAAAUACACCAAGGAGAAUAAUUGCGCCUUAUCUUUUUGUGGUUGGGUGGCUGUGGAAGUGACACAGUGAAUGACACUUUUGACCGUUUUUAUUUUUGGCAACAAUGAUUUAUCCCCCCGAGGAGAUAUAUGCAAAUGCAAUCAAUUUUCCAUACAAAAAAAAACACCAAAUAAAUACCUUUUGACAAAUAAAACAGCUGAUGCGUGUGAGUGAGGCUGAGUGCUGAGUGUGUGUGUGUGUAACAAUAUCCAAAUUAUCUCGAA